UGGCGGACGGGUGAGUAACGCGUGGGUAACCUGCCUUACACAGGGGGAUAACACCUGGAAACAGGUGCUAAUACCGCAUAAGCGCACAGGGCCGCAUGGCCCGGUGUGAAAAACUCCGGUGGUGUAAGAUGGACCCGCGUCUGAUUAGCUUGUUGGCGGGGUAGAGGCCCACCAAGGCGACGAUCAGUAGCCGGCCUGAGAGGGUGAACGGCCACAUUGGGACUGAGACACGGCCCAGACUCCUACGGGAGGCAGCAG
rnacentral:rRNA from 1 species